CGACCGGGUGAGUAACACGUAGCUAACCUACCCUCGAGCGGGGGAUAACCUGGGGAAACUCGGGCUAAUACCGCAUAAGAUCCUGGUGACGCGAGUCACAGGGAGCAAAGGCCCGCAAGGGUCACUUGAGGAGGGGGCUGCGGCCGAUUAGCUAGUUGGUGAGGUAACGGCCCACCAAGGCGAUGAUCGGUAGCCGGCCUGAGAGGGCGCACGGCCACACUGGCACUGAAACACGGGCCAG
rnacentral:rRNA from 1 species